GUGAGUACCUGGGGGAGUCCUACCUGAGUAACCAGGAGUUCCCAGACCCCCGAGAACCCUGCAACCUGUGUACCUGCCUUGGAGGCUUCGUGACCUGCGGCCGCCAGCCCUGUGAGCCUCCGGGCUGCAGCCACCCACUCAUCCCCUCUGGGCACUGCUGCCCGACCUGCCAGGGAUGCCGCUACCAUGGCGUCACUGCUGCCUCCGGAGAGACCCUUCCUGACCCACUUGACCCUACCUGCUCCCUCUGCACCUGCCAGGAAGGUUCCAUGCGCUGCCAGAAGAAGCCAUGUCCCCCAGCUCUCUGCCCCCACCCCUCUCCAGGCCCCUGCUUCUGCCCUGUUUGCCACAGUGAGCUGCCUUCCUCAUGCGCGG
rnacentral:lncRNA from 1 species